rnacentral:tRNA from 1 species
GGUGGGGUGUAGCUCACAGAGCGCCUGCCUUGCACGCAGGAGGUCAUCAGUUGAUCCCGUUCACCACCA